rnacentral:lncRNA from 1 species
AUGCUAAAACGUUCUAUUUAGCUGUGUUUAACUGGAUAUCAUGAUUCCAUGGGCUGACCUUUCGCUCCUGGGAAGUCGUUUUAAAUUCAAUCCCCAGCAAAGGAAAAUCCUUCCAAUUCGUUGGCUGUGAAAGGUCACAAGUGAGAUGUGUUUUGAUGGUAUCUGCCUAUGGUUUAAUUCUCAGUAAACCUGAGCACUAACUGGGCCUCAAUUGUCCUUUGUCUUGGGAAUCUGAGUUCUAAGAAGCCUGGGAGAGCUGAGUGGGAGACAUGGGACUGAGUUGCUGGCAUCAGCCGAGGGUGCACAAAACUGGCAGCUGAAAGGUCUUCAGAUGCGUUCGCCUCCCAGCCUGUGGGUGAAGCCGGCAUGAUGGCCAUGCUGUGUCUGUAGUUCAUUUCGGCGCCUUUGUGUGUCUUCCAACCAGCCAGCUUCCUGAGGGCAGGAGCUGGGUCUUCACCUUUAUGUUCCAGUGCUUAGCUCGGGGGUUCCUCCAAGAAGGGGAGACUGUCUCUUCCUAGUACGGAAGUGCGAACAGCUAGAGUCGAGAUCAAGCCUUGCCAUGUUCGUGAAGAAAUGAAAAUGUAAUGACGUGUGUUGCAUGGAAUGUAUCGUGAGAGUUCUUGGCAGUCACAGGAAUGGGCACGGAUCACAGCUCUCACUCUCUCAAAGCAGUUAGGGCCGUUAACGAAUUAUGCUCGAAGAAAAAGUUUGAUUAACAAAGGCCUUUGACACCUUGUUUGAAAUUGAACUUGCUUUUGGUGAAUGUGCGAGGCUGGAUGGAAAUACAAGCAGGACAUUUCCCACCAGUUUUGAUACGGAAACCUCUGGAAGACUAAAGUUGCCAAAACAGUGGCACAUCUGGAGGCCAUGGACUCUCACAAUCCUUAUGUUGGGAAAGAUUCGCAGAGUUCAUCUAUACAAACAUUUUGGUAGCCGUUCCUCUCCACUGAAAACAUAAAAUGGGUUACCAGAGUUAUUAGAGCAUUCUGACAGUGAAGAGUUCCAAGGCGACACACUUCAUCUAACUCCCUUGUUUAACACACGAGGAAGCCAGGGACCAAACCAGCAAGGACUUAUGCUCAAAACCACGCUAAGUCCGCAGCAGGGCUUGAGACCACUCUCCCUUUGACAAGAGAACAGCUCACUGAUUGCCACUCUGCUCACCCCAGAUGACAGCACAGAGGUCCCCCCUCAUCCGCUGUUUCACUCUUGUGGUGUCAGUUACCCACGGUCAACUGAGGUGCGAAAACAUUAAAUG